AGCGAACGCUGGCGGCAGGCCUAACACAUGCAAGUCGAACGAACCUUUCGGGGUUAGUGGCGGACGGGUGAGUAACACGUGGGAACGUGCCUUUAGGUUCGGAAUAACUCAGGGAAACUUGUGCUAAUACCGAAUGUGCCCUUCGGGGGAAAGAUUUAUCGCCUUUAGAGCGGCCCGCGUCUGAUUAGCUAGUUGGUUGAGGUAAUGGCUCACCAAGGCGACGAUCAGUAGCUGGUCUGAGAGGAUGAUCAGCCACAUUGGGACUGAGACACGGCCCAAACUCCUCCGGGAGGCAGCAGGGGGGAAUCUUGGGAAAGGGGCGAAAGCCUGACGCAGCCAUGCCGGGUGAAUGAGGAAGGUCUUAGGGUUGUAAAAUUCUUUCACCGGGGAGGAUAAUGACGGUACCGGGAGAAGAAGCCCCGGCUAACUCCGUG
rnacentral:rRNA from 1 species